rnacentral:rRNA from 1 species
ACGAACGCUGGCGGCGUGCUUAACACAUGCAAGUCGAGCGGUAAGGCCUUUCGGGGUACACGGGCGGCGAACGGGUGAGUAACACGUGGGUGAUCUGCCCUGCACUUCGGGAUAAGCCGGGGAAACUGGGCCUAAUACCGGAUAGGCCCUCCUAUCGCAGGGUGGGGGGGGGAAGGAUUUAUCGGUGCAGGAUGGGCCCGCGGCCUAUCAGCUUGUUGGUGGGGUAAUGGCCUACCAAGGCGACGACGGGUAGCCGACCUGAGAGGGUGACCGGCCACACUGGGACUGAGACACGGCCCAGACUCCUACGGGAGGCAGCAGUGGGGAAUAUUGCACAAUGGGCGAAAGCCUGAUGCAGCGACGCCGCGUGAGGGAUGACGGCCUUCGGGUUGUAAACCUCUUUCAGCAGGGACGAAGCGCAAGUGACGGUACCUGCAGAAGAAGCACCGGCUAACUACGUG